rnacentral:rRNA from 1 species
GUGCCAGCCGCCGCGGUAAUACGGAAGGUCCGGGCGUUAUCCGGAUUUAUUGGGUUUAAAGGGAGCGCAGGCCGAUGGUUAAGCGUGACGUGAAAUGUAGCCGCUCAACGGCUGAACUGCGUCGCGAACUGGCUGUCUUGAGUGAGUUCGAUGUGGGCGGAAUUCGUGGUGUAGCGGUGAAAUGCUUAGAUAUCACGAAGAACUCCGAUUGCGAAGGCAGCCCACAAGGCCUUUACUGACGCUAAAGCUCGAAGGUGCGGGUAUCGAACAGGAUUAGAUACCCUGGUAGUCCGCACGGUAAACGAUGGAUGCCCGCUGUUUGCGAUAUACUGUGAGCGGCCAAGAGAAAUCGUUAAGCAUCCCACCUGGGGAGUACGCCGGCAACGGUGAAACUCAAAGGAAUUGACGGGGGCCCGCACAAGCGGAGGAACAUGUGGUUUAAUUCGAUGAUACGCGAGGAACCUUACCCGGGCUUGAACUGCAGCGGAAGGAUACAGAGAUGUUGACGUCCUUCGGGACCGCUGUGGAGGUGCUGCAUGGUUGUCGUCAGCUCGUGCCGUGAGGUGUCGGCUUAAGUGCCAUAACGAGCGCAACCCUUUUCAUCAGUUGCCAUCAGGUGAUGCUGGGCACUCUGGUGAUACUGCCACCGUAAGGUGUGAGGAAGGUGGGGAUGACGUCAAAUCAGCACGGCCCUUACGUCCGGGGCUACACACGUGUUACAAUGGGGCAUACAGAAGGCGGGACCAUGGCAACAUGGUUCAAAUCUUUAAAGUGCUCCUCAGUUCGGAUUGGGGUCUGCAACCCGACCCCAUGAAGCUGGAUUCGCUAGUAAUCGCGCAUCAGCCAUGGCGCGGUGAAUACGUUCCCGGGCCUUGUACACACCGCCCGU